rnacentral:rRNA from 1 species
GAGUUUGAUCUUGGCUCAGAUUGAACGCUGGCGGCAUGCCUCACACAUGCAAGUCGAACGGCAGCAUGAUCUAGCUUGCUAGAUUGAUGGCGAGUGGCGAACGGGUGAGUAAUACAUCGGAACGUGCCCUGUAGUGGGGAUAACUAGUCGAAAGAUUAGCUAAUACCGCAUACGACCUGAGGGUGAAAGUGGGGGACCGCAAGGCCUCAUGCUAUAGGAGCGGCCGAUGUCUGAUUAGCUAGUUGGUGGGGUAAAGGCCCACCAAGGCGACGAUCAGUAGCUGGUCUGAGAGGACGAUCAGCCACACUGGGACUGAGACACGGCCCAGACUCCGUACGGGAGGCAGCAGUGGGGAAUUUUGGACAAUGGGCGAAAGCCUGAUCCAGCAAUGCCGCGUGUGUGAAGAAGGCCUCGGUUGUAAGU